ACGCACGCUGGCGGCGCGCCUAACACAUGCAAGUCGAACGAGCGAGAGAGAGCUUGCUUUCUUGAGCGAGUGGCGAACGGGUGAGUAACGCGUGAGGAACCUGCCUCAAAGAGGGGGACAACAGUUGGAAACGACUGCUAAUACCGCAUAAGCCCACGACCCGGCAUCGGGUUGAGGGAAAAGGAGCAAUCCGCUCUGAGAUGGCCUCGCGUCCGAUUAGCUAGUUGGUGAGGUAACGGCCCACCAAGGCGACGAUCGGUAGCCGGACUGAGAGGUUGAACGGCCACAUUGGGACUGAGACACGGCCCAGACUCCUACGGGAGGCAGCAGUGGGGAAUAUUGCACAAUGGGGGAAACCCUGAUGCAGCGACGCCGCGUGGAGGAAGAAGGUCUUCGGAUUGUAAACUCCUGUUGUUGAGGAAGAUAAUGACGGUACUCAACAAGGAAGUGACGGCUAACUACGUG
rnacentral:rRNA from 1 species